rnacentral:tRNA from 1 species
UAUACUGGUUGAGCACUUCGGGGCAUUGGCGCAGUUGGUAGCGCGCUUCCAUGGCAUGGAAGAGGUCAGGGGUUCGAAUCCCCUAUGCUCCACCGGACAGACAAAACCGCAGGUCAGAGCGUAUUCAGGGUUGCGAAAUUGGGGUUAAAACUACCCAAAAACCACCUAAAAUUAUGGGGGUGUUCGUGGCGAGACGGGCUGCGGUGGAGGCAACUUCUACCAGCUUCAAAGCGGAGGGAAAACCCGGAUUGGUUCAGUUGCCCACCGAGAAUUUCGACGCUGGUUCGGGUCGUGGGGAUGGCCAGUUUCGUGGCAGUGGCCUGCAUAACAUGUUCGACAUAUUGAAUGUUCUCAUUCCCCGGGGUGAGUGGUUUGAAAAACCGAUACGACUACUAAAAACUCAAAAUCAACACUUUUGU